AACGAACGCUGGCGGCAUGCCUAACACAUGCAAGUCGAACGAAGUCUUCGGACUUAGUGGCGCACGGGUGCGUAACGCGUGGGAAUCUGCCCUUGGGUGCGGAAUAACUUCUCGAAAGGGAUGCUAAUACCGCAUAAUGUCGUAAGACCAAAGAUUUAUCGCCCAAGGAUGAGCCCGCGUAAGAUUAGCUAGUUGGUGGGGUAAAAGCCUACCAAGGCGACGAUCUUUAGCUGGUCUGAGAGGAUGAUCAGCCACACUGGGACUGAGACACGGCCCAGACUCCUACGGGAGGCAGCAGUGGGGAAUAUUGGACAAUGGGCGAAAGCCUGAUCCAGCAAUGCCGCGUGAGUGAUGAAGGCCCUAGGGUUGUAAAGCUCUUUUACCAGGGAUGAUAAUGACAGUACCUGAGAAUAAGCUCCGGCUAACUCCGUGCCAGCAGCCGCGGUAAU
rnacentral:rRNA from 1 species